rnacentral:rRNA from 1 species
AGUGAACGCUGGCGGUAGGCCUAACACAUGCAAGUCGAACGGCAGCACAGUAAGAGCUUGCUCUUACGGGUGGCGAGUGGCGGACGGGUGAGGAAUACAUCGGAAUCUACUUUUUCGUGGGGGAUAACGUAGGGAAACUUACGCUAAUACCGCAUACGACCUACGGGUGAAAGCAGGGGAUCUUCGGACCUUGCGCGAUUGAAUGAGCCGAUGUCGGAUUAGCUAGUUGGCGGGGUAAAGGCCCACCAAGGCGACGAUCCGUAGCUGGUCUGAGAGGAUGAUCAGCCACACUGGAACUGAGACACGGCCCAGACUCCUACGGGAGGCAGCAGUGGGGAAUAUUGGACAAUGGGCGCAAGCCUGAUCCAGCCAUACCGCGUGGGCGAAGAAGGCCUUCGGGUUGUAAAGCCCUUUUGUUGGGAAAGAAAAGCAGCAGGUUAAUACCCCGCUGUUCUGACGGUACCCAAAGAAUAAGCACCGGCUAACUUCGUG